CCUACGGGGUGCAGCAGUGAGGAAUAUUGGUCAAUGGCCGUAAGGCUGAACCAGCCAAGUCGCGUGAAGGAAGAAGGAUCUAUGGUUUGUAAACUUCUUUUAUAAAGGAAUAAAGUGAGGCACGUGUGCCUUUUUGUAUGUACUUUAUGAAUAAGGAUCGGCUAACUCCGUGCCAGCAGCCGCGGUAAUACGGAGGAUCCGAGCGUUAUCCGGAUUUAUUGGGUUUAAAGGGAGCGUAGAUGGGUUGUUAAGUCAGUUGUGAAAGUUUGCGGCUUAACCGUAAAAUUGCAAUUGAUACUGGCAGCCUUGAGUACAGUUGAGGUAGGCGGAAUUCGUGGUGUAGCGGUGAAAUGCUUAGAUAUCACGAAGAACUCCGAUUGCGAAGGCAGCUUACUAAACUGCCACUGACAUUGAUGCUCGAAAGUGUGGGUAUCAAACAGGAUUAGAUACCCUUGUAGUC
rnacentral:rRNA from 1 species